GUAGGUGGCAAGCGUUGUCCGGAAUUAUUGGGCGUAAAGCGCGCGCAGGCGGUUCUUUAAGUCUGAUGUGAAAGCCCACGGCUCAACCGUGGAGGGUCAUUGGAAACUGGAGAACUUGAGUACAGAAGAGGAAAGCGGAAUUCCACGUGUAGCGGUGGAAUGCGUAGAGAUGUGGAGGAACACCAGUGGCGAAGGCGGCUUUCUGGUCUGUAACUGACGCUGAGGCGCGAAAGCGUGGGGAGCAAACAGGGAUUAGAUACCCUGGUAGUCCACGCCGUAAACGAUGAGUGCUAAGUGUUAGGGGGGUUUCCGCCCCCUUAGUGCUGCAGCUAACGCAUUAAGCACUCCGCCUGGGGAUACGGCCGCAAGGCUG
rnacentral:rRNA from 1 species